rnacentral:rRNA from 1 species
UACAGAGGGGGCAAGCGUUGUUCGGAAUACUGGGCGUAAAGCGUGCGCAGGCGGUUAUGUAAGACAGUUGUGAAAUCCCCGGGCUCAACCUGGGAACUGCAUCUGUGACUGCAUAGCUAGAGUACGGUAGAGGGGGAUGGAAUUCCGCGUGUAGCAGUGAAAUGCGUAGAUAUGCGGAGGAACACCGAUGGCGAAGGCAAUCCCCUGGACCUGUACUGACGCUCAUGCACCGAAAAGCGUGGGGAGCAAACAGGAUUAACGAAACCCGAGU